rnacentral:pre_miRNA from 1 species
AUUGUCGUUUCCGAAUCAGGCCUCGCUGGCCAGGAUUCGGGCUUAUUUCCUCGUAUCCUGGCCUGCAAGUGCACUCAUUCGGACGACCUU